GUGUUUAUCUGGUAGGGUAGGUACUAUGAUUGUGAAGGUGGUUUUCCUUGGUUGGGGUUUUUUUUCCUUGCGUCGCGAAAGUACUCACUCCUGCGUUUUUCCCGAAUGUGGGAAACUCAACUGCGCAAUUUGUAUUAGUGGGAAACUGUUUGUGUUCUCC